GAUAAGAGCCCCAUUUCCUUUUAUUGUGGGUAUAAUAGAAUUAAUUAGAGAUUUUGUUUCUGCAAUUCAUUUGCAUCCACUACCAAUCAACGUGCAUAUUUCUUUCCUGAUAUCAAAUAAACCAUCACAAGCACGUUACUAGACCAAAGAAAUAGAAAAACGCCAAAUUUCCUUUUUAGCUCUACUCUUUUUAUUUCUGCUACACGAUUACAUCAACCUACACGGUUACAUUAUGAAAUUCUCACAAUGAUUCAUUUGUUCAUGGAAAAUAAAUUCCAAGUCUUGUUGUCCUUCAAUUUUCGUGUAGAACCAAGUUUUGAGUCCUUUCUCUCUUGCAAGCUCUUUUGUGGAACCAGAAGCCUCAUUAAGAUGCGUGGAACUAGAAGCCUCAUUAAUAAAUAAAGCGUAUCAAGUAAGGGCUUUUACCUCAUACGUCCAUACUGAGUACUAGGAUGAUGUUAUGAAUUAGAGUGCUUUGAGUAUGAACCAAUUCCGAAAACCCAAGGGGACUUGGAAGGCCUAGAAGGAAUCAAGCUCACGAAGAAGAAGAGAAUCCUAAUGUUAAUAUGUGAGCAUAAAUAUUGCAUCAACAACAACUGAUGCAGCAACAAUAUUAGGAACAACAAGCUCAGUAGGCCUUGCAGCAUCAAAAGAUCAUGCAGAUGAUACAAAUACAAUGGAAGAUUAAUCAACAUGCUCAGUCUCAGGGACAAUGGGCUAAUAUGAUGCAAAAAGGCCAAUCCUUUCAGCCGAAUACAACAUUCAGAUAGUAUGAUAAGAAUCAUCCCUCGGAGUUCAAUGGGGAAGUUGAUCCACAAGAAGCAAAAAGGUGGAUCAAGCAGAUGGAGAAAAUUUUCCGAUUGGCUGAAUGCUCAUAAGCAGAUAAUGUCAUGGAUGCUACCAAUUGAUUUAGAGGCGCAACAUAAGAUUGGUGGGAAGGUGCUCAACGUCGUAUGACGGUCAAUGAUGUAGAAAUCAAUUGGGCUAGUUUUAAGAAAGCAAUAAUGGAGAAGUACCUUCCGAAGUCUUUCAAGAUUAAGAAAGAGCAAGAAUUUCUGGAACUUAAGCAAGGGAACAUGUCAAUAAAUGAAGGGGUCAAGGAUAUGUUAUGCAUGAAAGCAGCUGGGGCAUUUUAUAACCGAGUGUCCAAAUAGGAAAGGCAAAAGUGGGACUGAGGAAGUUCGCUAGAGGAUGGGAUGAAUAGCGUUUUUCGUUUUUCAAUUUUUUUUAGGAAUACAUGGAUUAAAAAGAGUAUGACUAUUGAAUCUGUGUUUGAUGAUGAUAAAAAACUAAGACAAUGAAUAUCAAAUAUGAUUCAAAGGUGAAUUGAGAAUUUAAAUAUUUAAUCUUUUAGAACAAAUCAACAAUCAAUACAAAUACAUUAAAAAUGCCUAAUGCUUAGAAGAUUGUAUUUAAGCCCUUCAACAAGCAUAACAUUUU